rnacentral:rRNA from 1 species
UGGGGGAUAUUGCACAAUGGGCGAAAGCCUGAUGCAGCGACGCCGCGUGGGGGAUGAAGGCCUUCGGGUUGUAAACUUCUGUUGCUCUGAACAAGGCUCACCAUGAGGUGUGUUGAGUGUAGGGGUUGAUUAGCGCCGGCUAACUACGUGCCAGCAGCCGCGGUAAUACGUAGGGCGCGAGCGUUGUCCGGAAUUAUUGGGCGUAAAGGGCUUGUAGGUGGCUGGUUGCGUCUGUCGUGAAAGCUCAUGGCUUAACUGUGGGUUUGCUGUGGGUACGGGCUGGCUUGAGUGCAGUAGGGGAGGCUGGAAUUCCUGGUGUAGCGGUGGAAUGCGCCGAUAUCAGGAGGAAUACCGGUGGCGAAGGCGGGUCUCUGGGCUGUUACUGACACUGAGGAGCGAAAGCAUGGGGAGCGAACAGG